rnacentral:lncRNA from 12 species
GGCUCCUUCCUGCUGCUGGGCCACUGCCACUGCUGUCUUCCUCCAAAACACUGCCUGGCACCUAGAGCAUGGCGCCGCUAAGCAUCAGUUCUCAGGGGCCCAGAGUAUGGUUCAGGUAUGUGAAUUCUCAUGGACAAGAGGCUGGCUGAGGCCACAGAGAAGAGAGCUGUAUGGCUGUACUUGUACUGAACUCGGGCCAAAGACGUAUGUUCGCUGUGGACCAGAGUGCACAAGAGAACACGAGUGCAAAGACUCAUCGGACACCUGCUAUGUGCGGGACUCAGCUGAAUCCAUGAACUCCAUGACAGCAGGUUUUGAGAAUUUGACAAAGGGAGAAUCACAUAGGAGUGGAGUAGAAAAGAGGAAAGGCUUCCUGGAAGAGAGAGGAUGGAGAUGGGUCCUGCAGAAGCCAUCAGCCCUGGAUGGGCAACCAAUGGCCUGUGAGGCUCUCCCGACAGUGACCAGUGUUCUGGCACAGCUUGGGGGAAGAGUGCUCCAAUUUUGUGACAGCACAGAGUGUGCCAAAAAUCACAUGAGUACGAGUCCAUUAAAUGAACUAGAAUACAGUAGACAAGCUAUAGGGACAGAAAGUAGAUCAGUGUUUGCCUAG